rnacentral:rRNA from 1 species
AUGGAUGUGGAUAUGGAUAGAAACAUGUGUUAUGUGAGCGCAUAUGUAGUUGUUGGGUGUUACACCAACAUUCAAAACAAUCCAGAAUCAACAACGAAUUCACCAUGCUAUUUAAUUCCAAUGCCAAGAGGACUUGAAGAGCAUGAGAGUUCAUCACUAACCUUAAGUGGGUCUAGUUGUUGCCACGUGGGCAUGGCAUGGCCGCUCUUUCUAUUUUCACAUAUGUAUUUUUCUGACAACCUUUCUAUUUUCACAUGUAGUUACACUGCCCUUGAUAUUUUUUCUUUUGCGGGCGGUCAGUUACACUACCCUACAAAAGCGAGUAAUUUGCUAGGCUACCAUACAAAAAUUGGUAAUUAG